AAAGGAUCAGUCGCAGUUUUCAACGUCGCUUGGGGAACAACAUGCCUCAGGGAAGCGUGACAUGAAGAUCCCCUGCAGGAGAGGGAUGAUGACAUAUGCGCACACUCGUGAGGAUGCGUAUCGCUACACUGCCGGAGAUGUGACCCGGGUUUCCACGCUGACCU